rnacentral:pre_miRNA from 1 species
ACCGGAGGCAAGCCCAGCCACCGACAAGGCUCGGCCUCCCCAGAUCUGGUGAGGCCGAGCCUCGCCGGUGGCUGGGCUUGCCUCCGGU